CAUAUAAACUAUCAGUAUAACUCCUCCGAUUGCUCCAUAUAAACUAUCAGUAUAACUCCUCCCACUGCUCCAUAUAAACUAUCGGUAUAACUCCUUCCAUUGCUCCAUAUAAAUUAUCAGUAUAACUCCUCCCACUGCUCCAUAUAAACUAUCGGUAUAACUCCUCCCAUUGCUCCAUAUAAACUAUCAGUAUAACUCCUU